UGUAGAACAUGAAGUGGAUUUUGAAUAAUUACUCCAUGUAGGUCCACUGCUGUUGUCUCCUUGCUCUUCAUGUAAGGAAUUAAAUACAGAGGUCUUACACAUCUUCCCAGCUCGCAUGAAAGAUAACGUACUAGGGGUAUUAACCUGAUGAAGAACUCCAAGGAGAGUGAGCUCAUCUCCAGGCUUAAGUGAUAAGCCAUCCAGAGCCCAUUUCACAGCACUUGAACUAACUUCCCGUGAUGCAUCCUGGAUUACCACCACCCUCUGAGCUGCUGUGGACAUGAUGGGUCUGUUUGAAGCUUUUGCCACUGGAAUUUAUGUCAGAUUGAAGAGAAAGAUGAAGCCAAGGCAAGACAAUGGACUCGGGCUAUUCUGAUUAAAACAAUGCUCUCUUGGAAGAUUUCUGCAAUCACUAAACUGAUCUGAUACCUGAUGGUGUACCCUCAAGGCUAAGAAAAAUCCUGGCUGCAUAUCCGCAAUCGGACGGUUAUGAGGACUGCUCAUGGCAGCAUUUGUGGCAAUUUUCUCAUGAAAUCAUUACCCUGAUGAUUGGGCUGAGCUAUCUCAAAGAUAUGUUCAGGAAGCAAAUAUUUGGGCUGUUACCUCUUGAAGAAAAAACAGAUGAGUUGGAGGCCUGGCCUUUCAUGAUGGGCCAUGUUGGGGCAUAUUCCUCUUGUAGAUUCCUUCCAUUAAUGGUAACAAGAUAACUUACAUACGAUACUAAUGAUAGUCUAUAAAUAAAUAUUUCAAAAUUUUACAGAUAUUUAA